UCCACGACUGUAGAAGCAGAUAAAAGAACGUGUGAACCUCGGAGGAGUCUCUAAACUCAGGUUCAGAGGAUAUGGGCGGCCAGCAAGCUAACAACAUUACUGUCUACCUCGUUUACAUGCCUAGACCUGUGUGUGAGAGAGGGCGGGAGCUGGAGAGAUGGAUCAGUGGAUACAAGAGAGCGGCUGCUUUUCCAGGAGACCCAGUGACAGCCAAAAGAGAUUCUGAACGCGACUGUAACGCCACUCCGUUCUGAAUAGGAAAGAUAACAGUGUUGGAACAGUGUCGGCGGUGACCUCACAAAGCAAGCUCCAGAUGGCACCAACUGGACUCUUUAUCAGAGGUUUCAACACUGAUGCCAAAACAAAACGCGCCCAGCAGCCUGGUGAAGGAGAAGUGGUCUCUAUGUUAUUUUUUGAGCUCAGGGACCAGAGCUCACCAAUUGGUUUCGUGGGAGCCUAGGCAGUUUCGUGGAUGCUCACCUUACUAGACCUGGAUGGAGGGAAUCAAAUAAGAAAGAUUAGCAAUUACGCCAGACAUGGUGGUGCAGCCUGUAAACCCAGCACUCGGGAGGCUGAGGCAGAAGGACGGAGAGGGCAAGGCCAAGCGGACUAGGCUACCUCGUGAAAAUCUGCCUUUAAAAAAAAGAAGGAAAGAAAAUGAGAAGAAAAAUAAGAACUAGGAGUAAUGGAGGCUUCUCAAACUUGCUGGUCUUGAGAGGCAGGUCAGUCCAGAGAUACCUCAAUACUACAGAAGCCCACAUGUCCUGAGAAAUACAGAUACCCCUUUCCCAGUAAUGCAUUCAGCAGCCUGGGAUCCCCAACAUGCGUCACAUUGCACAUAGACCAUGCUCCAAACAAUUCAGUUUUCCUGCAAACCCAUCUUAAACAUAUCCUGUAACUAAGGAGAAGAGGCCAAACCUGCCUGAACUGGUUUUGGAUGCAUUCAUAGAAAGGGAACUUGGUUUCUUUGUGUGAGUGAACUUUUAGGGGAACUUUUCUUAUUUCCAAUAUUAUGCCUACGAGUGUAUGAAAAAUUAAAAUCUGAUGCAUCAUGGGAAAAAUGUACCGUGAUCAAAGACUGUGGAAGCCCAUUAAUGAAAUCAGCCAUGGCUCACACCUCAGUAGCCAGCUCCUCUCCCUGCUGGGCCCCGACAAGACAGCCUAACCCAAUGCUCUUGAGGAAAACUCACUCGCGGCCUCUUGGAUUGCUUGAAAUGCAUCUAUUCUGUACUUGCAAUCUUUGAGUAAAAUCCCCUGAUAUUUUGAAAUUUGUGAGUACUUCUUCCAUUCUCUGAACACGAUACCAAGAUCUGGAAAUACCCUCUAGACAAAGGCCACUGGUCACACAAUAUCACGUGGAUGAAAACACAGGUCCACUUUCUGUCCUUGAAACGCUCACAUGUUCUGACUUUUGAAAAGUAUAAACUCCUUCCUGAAGUAUACUCCAACUGUCCAUUAAAGAUAUAGACCGUGUCCUCCAGGGUCUAGAGGCUACGGCGAUGUCUUUCCGGAUCUCACCAUGUGACACUGGGCCACAUCUCCCAUCUUUGUAAGCAGAAGUUUCCCGACUGCUGUGGUCCCCAGAAUUCCUCAGUGAGAAGACAGUUGACAGAAAUCACUGGGUUACCCCUCAGGGACCACACCGUCCAGCGGAGGACAUCCAGAUGGCAGGGCAUUGGGGAUAUUUGCCUUUUGAAUUGUCACCGCCAUUUCUGUAAAACCCUUGUGAAGC